GGUAAAAGGUUGCUUUUUGAAAGAAUCUGUAUACUGAAUUUCUUUACAUUCCUCAGUAAUAAAAUCAGCUGGUAAUAAAAACUGUAUCGAGCUCAAGCCAAAUUCUACAAUGGGGAACACUUGAAACUAAUCAAAUGAUUCUGUCCUGAAGAUCUGUAAUUAAUGUGGAUGCCAAAGAGCUUAGCUUCUUCCCUGUUUCUCCUGCAAUGUUCUUCAGAGAAGAAAGAUCCUGCUGUGCCUGAAUAGAAAUCCGGUUAAUAAACUCAGUUGCAGUAAGAUCGACGGAAGGAUUAUCCCGCUGGUUACCGAAUAGAUCGGCACUAGAGAUGGAAGCUGAACCCGAAAACUUUUGCAGGGAGACUUGAGCUUCAGCAUCAGCUCUGUUCUGAUCACCAAAAUACUGGGCUGAUGAAAUAGAUUUAGCAUUGGAGAAUUUCUUCCUUGCUUCAUCACUUUCUUCAAUCUGCACUUUUGAGGAACUGGAACUGCCUUUCUUUGGAAAACCACCAU
rnacentral:misc_RNA from 1 species